AACGAACGCUGGCGGCAGGCCUAACACAUGCAAGUCGAGCGAAGCCUUCGGGCUUAGCGGCGGACGGGUGAGUAACGCGUGGGAACGUGCCCUUUGGUACGGAAUAGCCCCGGGAAACUGGGAGUAAUACCGUAUGUGGUCGAGAGACGAAAGAUUUAUCGCCAAAGGAUCGGCCCGCGUUGGAUUAGGUAGUUGGUGGGGUAAUGGCCUACCAAGCCGACGAUCCAUAGCUGGUUUGAGAGGAUGAUCAGCCACACUGGGACUGAGACACGGCCCAGACUCCUACGGGAGGCAGCAGUGGGGAAUCUUAGAAAAUGGGGGAAACCCUGAUCUAGCCAUGCCGCGUGAUCGAUGAAGGCCCUAGGGUUGUAAAGAUCUUUCAGUGGGGAAGAUAAUGACUGUACCCACAGAAGAAGCCCCGGCUAACUCCGUGCCAGCCGCCGCGGUAACAC
rnacentral:rRNA from 1 species